UAUACUACUAGUAGCCAAUCUCAGUCACCAACCAAGAUUAAUAAAGAACCCUUCCAUGCAAUCCACAGAUACAUAGUUACAAAACCACUCUUAAAAUCAAAAAUAAAAUUCUCAAAUAUUUUGACAAAAAGAAUGAUAAAGAUUAACAAGUCACUAACAAUAAAAAAAAGUAGAAUUAACAGAAAUAUAGAAAAGCAAAGAUUAGCAAAUCACAAAGUUUCAACAACAUAGGGGGCAUUUUACAAUUAGUCGCAAACACCUGGUCCUUUGAGAUUCAACAUCCCAAUGGGUAUAUCCUCCAUCAUUCUCGAUUUGACAUAUUCGACGAAGGACGAGUGCAUGUGAGGGAGAUGGGUGGCAUCGACACAACGAGAUGAAGGAGAUUUGGCUUUGGGCGAUGAAAUCCCUAGAUUCAGAGGAGAGACUAGCAACAAUGGAUGGGACGUGGAGAUUUGGAAAGUAUGACAAAGGAGGAGGAGGAGGCAUGAGAGGGAUGGACUUUUGGUGAGCAGAUUAGAAAGUGAUGGUGAAGGCGUGAACUGAGAUG
rnacentral:lncRNA from 1 species